CACUCCAGAAGGACAUUCCUUGAUAAAGUUGACCAUGGGCUGGGCUGUGAUUUUCUUAGCACUCCUCACUUACUUCUCAGGCAUCGAUGGCCAGUCCACUUGGACUCAGCCUCCUUACAUCUCCGUGUCCCUGCGUGGAACCAUUACACUCUCCUGCACAACUCAGAGUACUCAACCUAUUAGCUGGUUUCAACAUCAAUCAGGGAAAGCCCCUCGUUUUGUGCACUGUAAUGAUUACUGCAGCAGGGGAGAAGGGGUCCCAAAUCGUUUCACCGCCACCAAAUCUGGGACUACAGGAACUUUGACCAUCACCAAUGCAGAAGCUGGAGACGAGGCAGUUUAUUACUGUGGUAGCUGGAACAGUGCUGGUAAUGCGUUGCACGGUGGUGAAUUCUUAUGGGGAAGUGUGACAAAAACCUCCUCUCAUCCUCUUCAGCCCGAAACCAAAAGCAACAUACUUUGA